rnacentral:rRNA from 1 species
GACGAACGCUGGCGGCGUGCUUAACACAUGCAAGUCGAACGGAAAGGCCCUGCUUUUGUGGGGUGCUCGAGUGGCGAACGGGUGAGUAACACGUGAGUAACCUGCCCUUGACUUUGGGAUAACUUCAGGAAACUGGGGCUAAUACCGGAUAGGAGCUCCUGCUGCAUGGUGGGGGUUGGAAAGUUUCGGCGGUUGGGGAUGGACUCGCGGCUUAUCAGCUUGUUGGUGGGGUAGUGGCUUACCAAGGCUUUGACGGGUAGCCGGCCUGAGAGGGUGACCGGCAACAUUGGGACUGAGAUACGGCCCAGACUGCUACGGGAGGCAGCAGUGGGGAAUAUUGCACAAUGGGCGGAAGCCUGAUGCAGCAACGCCGCGUGCGGGAUGACGGCCUUCGGGUUGUAAACCGCUUUCGCCUGUGACGAAGCGUGAGUGACGGUAAUGGGUAAAGAAGCACCGGCUAACUACGUG